rnacentral:rRNA from 1 species
UAUUUUCCUUUUUUUCCCUCAGCCGCGGUAAUACGUAGGGAGCAAGCGUUGUCCGGAUUUACUGGGUGUAAAGGGUGCGUAGGCGGCUUUGCAAGUCAGAUGUGAAAUCUAUGGGCUCAACCCAUAAACUGCAUUUGAAACUGUAGAGCUUGAGUGAAGUAGAGGCAGGCGGAAUUCCCCGUGUAGCGGUGAAAUGCGUAGAGAUGGGGAGGAACACCAGUGGCGAAGGCGGCCUGCUGGGCUUUAACUGACGCUGAGGCACGAAAGCGUGGGUAGCAAACAGG